GAGGAGCUUGGAGCUCCUAGGCUGGGGGCGUCCCAGAUGUUGUGGAACUGUCCCUGGAUCUAUAGCUCUUCACCGUCUCUACUUUCUUCUAAGAGAUCCUGAAACCUCUGUCAUGGAAAAGUACCACGUGUUGGAGAUGAUUGGAGAAGGCUCUUUUGGGAGGGUGUACAAGGGUCGAAGAAAAUACAGUGCUCAGGUGUUGCACAAAGAGGGAUACCUUUUGGGUGGGAUUUGGUACCCCCAACUCCAGUGGAAAAUGGAUCUAGAAGGAAUGUAUUUAUACCAGUUUGUAUUCCUAAGGUCGUGGCCCUGAAGUUCAUCCCAAAAUUGGGGCGCUCAGAGAAGGAGCUGAGGAAUUUGCAACGAGAGAUUGAAAUAAUGCGGGGUCUGCGGCAUCCCAACAUUGUGCAUAUGCUUGACAGCUUUGAAACUGAUAAAGAGGUGGUGGUGGUGACAGACUAUGCUGAGGGAGAGCUCUUUCAGAUCCUAGAAGAUGACGGAAAACUUCCUGAAGACCAGGUUCAGGCCAUUGCUGCCCAGUUGGUGUCAGCCCUGUACUAUCUGCAUU
rnacentral:sRNA from 1 species